rnacentral:rRNA from 1 species
AUACGGAGGGUGCAAGCGUUACUCGGAAUCACUGGGCGUAAAGGACGCGUAGGCGGGUUGGUAAGUCAGGUGUGAAAUCCUACAGCUUAACUGUAGAACUGCACUUGAAACUACCAACCUAGAGUAUGGGAGGGGGAGAUGGAAUUAGUGGUGUAGGGGUAAAAUCCGUAGAUAUCACUAGGAAUACCGAAAGCGAAGGCGAUCUCCUGGAACAUAACUGACGCUACGGCGUGAAAGCGUGGGGAGCAAACAGGAUUAGAUACCCUAGUAGUCC